AUGUAUUUGCCAUUUUAUUCGAUCUCUAAACUGCAGUUGGAUUAUUAUGUCCACAACUUUUGUUCCUCCACAGCUUCCUCCGCUAGUUUCUCCGAGCAAUCUUGCUGGAAGUUGUGGUUCAUGAUGGUGAUGUUGCAAUCUCACCCUUGCCCUUACAUGCAGUUGCUUCAACAACAUUGUGUGCUUGGAAAGUUUCGGCUGAGAGGCUCACUUUCGGUGGUGGGACAGUGUGGUGAACUGGAAGGCAUUUAGUGAGAACUUCAGAUCCCUGUACAGGAUUCCUUACUCAAUAUCCAGAUGCCUCCAGUGUGACAGCUUGUACAAGCAUUAUGGAGCAGGCUACAGAGGGAGAGGACAAAGAGGCGUGUUGCAGGGGUUUUACUCCUCUGAUGACUUUGAGGACAACUAGAGCCCAGAUACAGGUCCCCUGUAAAGACCUUGUCUCAGAGGACCACCAGGACAAGACCACAGGAAACAGAUGAUUCUUCUGCACAAUCUGACUUUGCUGCAGUCUGGAAUUGAACUACUGGUUUCGUCUGGUCAGAGGAGAACUGACCUCCAACUGAACCUGAUUUCUCCCAAGGUUUUUUUCUCCAUUCUGUCACCGAUGGAGUUUCGGUUCCUUGCCGCUGUCGCCUCUGGCUUGUUUAGUUGGGGUCACUUCAUCUACAGCGAUAUCAUUGACUUGAUUGCAAAUAAAUGCAUAGACACUUUUUAAACUGAACAGAGAUGAAUUCAAUGUUUUAUUUAGGAGUGUACCAGACUCCAAAGAAGGCCAGAGAUUCCAAGUUGUCAUCCCGGCAAAGUUGAAGGAAGCAAUUUUAACUUAUGCACAUGACAAUCCUCUGAGUGGACACUUGGGCAAAUUUAAGACACUGAUGAGACUUUUAGAGUUCGCUUAUUGGCCUUCAAUUCGCACAGAUGUAUGGCAGCACUGCCGGAAUUGUCAGAAAUGUCAGCAACAUAAACAGACCAACUUAAAACCAUACAAAGUGUACCCCUAGUCGAGCCCGGUUAUAUGCUGGGAAUGGACAUCAUGGGACCAUUUCCCCGAAUCACCCGACAGAACGAAUAUCUGCUGGUUAUAGUGGACUACUUCUCAAAAUGGGUAGAAGUAUUUCCCAUGAGAGCUGCCAAAUCUGCUACCAUUGUGCGAAUAUUAAGAGAGGAAAUUUUCACGAGAUGGGGAACAUGUUACCACUAGCAGCCGCUUGAGGGCGCUAGAGGUAAUUGAUUACCGGAUAUAAGCCCCGAUCAUAGACGAGCAAGUCAGAUUCUUUGGUAGAGGGAAACCUCAUGGUUGAGCUCAUGGCUGGCUACCUUCUUUCUCACAAGUCCUGUUUGAGAACUGUUUAAGUUUACGCUCAAACAAGGACUUUUUGUUUGGCCUUUUUUAGACCUUAUUGGACUCUUUGGACAUUUGAUACCUUUAUUGUUCCAUGCUGCACGUGUUCUCCUCAUUUGAGCACUAUUUACCACACGAUCUUCUAUAAGCAACCUUGGUUUGUUGCUACAGAUCUACAGUGCUGCUUAUCUCCAUUCCAUUCUCACUGGUCUCACUGGAUUAUAACAUUGCAUCGUCCUCAAAUAACCGUUUGGAUUUUAAUCAUCUCAUCAGCAUCAUCAUCAUCAUCAUCAUCUGAUUCAUCUAACAUUGAACUAACAUGAUAAGGUUCAUUUAUUAUUGACUUUCCUUAAAUGCUCAUAAAAAUGCUCAGUUAUUUAUAUUGAUUAUCUAUCGUGCACUUGGGAAUAAAACCAAAAAGAGAAACGUAUUUGUUUGGUGAAGUGGUUUUAUUAUUAGUACCAGUCGAAUUCUGUGGGACCCCUCAGAUUGUAUCAUCUUACAUUAAGGGAGGUGUUACAACUGUUGGCAGAAGGACUUUAUCUGGAUUUUUCCAAUGUCCCACCAUUGGCUUAAUGAUUUAAACUGUGACCUUCUCUCUCGCCAAGCUCUCCAGAAAAGAGUAAAAGAGUGCACGAAAGAGUGAUCUUUUAACAAUCUACUUUUAAAGUGCCAGUAAGAUUUAUUAUGAGUAUUCAAUGUUGUGACCGUGACAGAGAUGUAGUGAUGAUCAGAUAGGGGUGUGGGACUAAUACUGCUGUUAAGAAAAUACUGUCUUUUAGUUUUUUGAACAUAGAUUCUAUCUAACCUGGCUCCAGAUAUAAUUUUUGAACCCAUCUUUAACCAUGUGUAUUGUUUUUCUUUAGGAAAGGAUUCUCUCCACACAUCAACAAGUGCAUGAUAUUUUAAAACAUUUCUAAGCGCUUCUGAUGAUUUUGGGUGAGGCUCAUCGUGAUUCCGAUCAACUGUAUGAUCAAUAGUGCAAUUAAAAUCUCCGGCUACAACGAUUACUCUUUCUUGGGGAAUUCCAUUAAUCACUUCUUGUAAUUUUCUAAAGCAUUCAAUUCUGUCAGAUCCAACGUUAAGGGCGUAAACAUUAAUGAAUGAAAAAGAUAAACCUUGCAAAAUAAUAUCUACUUGUUGCAUUCUACCAGGUAUAAUAUCUAUCAUACUGAAAUCCUGUCCUUGGAGUUUAGCAGAUAUCAGAAUAGCAACACCAGCACUGACAUUUGAUCCAUGGCUGAGAAAAACCUGCCCUUUCCACUCACUAAGCCAUUCUGUCUGGUUAUAUUUAUCAGUAUGAGUUUCCUGUAAAAAGAUUACACCUGUCUUCUUUAAAGUUAAAAAAUUAAAAAGAGCAAAUAUUUUCCCUACACUACGACAUCCAUUAACAUUUAAGGAUCCAAUGCUCAAGGAUGCCAUAAUUAUUAACAGGGAAAUAUUAAUGCAGCUGAGUACCAUUAUUGCAAGCUUCAUCCUAACCUGUAACACACUUUUUUAUUGCUACGUUGGAUCAUCUUUUUUACUUUAGUCAUAAUUUUCUUGAGACGAUAUCGUUUUUGUCUAUUGAAUUCUUCAAGAGUUGCAUUUGUCAUUACAUAUCUAGAAGAGGCAAGAAAGCUUUUCAAAUCUGGAAAAAACAUUUCCAUCUGGGGAUUCCUGGUGCCUUUAGUUUUAUCAAGGAAGAUACUAAUUUGUUUUACAGAAUAUAGUCUGGAGUUUGUAUCACUCGUUUCUAAAGAUCCUGCUUGUGAACCGGUUUCUUCCAUGUCAACAAAACUCCCUUCACUUUCACUUCCAUGAUCUGAAUCAUCAUCUGACAGAAUAUUAUCUGCACUUACAUUUGACCACUGACUACAUUUCCCUUCUUCAGAUUCAUUUUCAUGUCACAACACUUUGUGCUUCUGUGUCUUUUUGCGUUAAACAGGUAUUUUCCUCACUUUUUGACUGAGAAGCUGCGUUUUCUGACUGACUUACAUCAGAAAUCUCAGCUCUCUGUUCUGGUUGUUCGCCGGUGACGGUGUUUGUAUUUUCCUCUCGGUUUUGCGGCUCUGAGUUUGUCUCUUCACGCACAUUAGAGCUGUCCUCUCCUGCACUAGAUCUGGGGCACGUCUGGCGAACAUGACCAUGGUCACCGCAAACAUAACAGCGCAUCUGUUCCGUGCUGAUAAAGAUUGUGUAAUCUUUCCCUUCGAUUGAGAUCUUUAUCGCUAUUCUAGCGGGUCAUCUUGUGCGUUAGGUAUUAUAUACGUGAAUUGUUGGAAGGACAUGAUGUGCUUUAUGUCAGGAUUUUUGAGUCCUAAAGGGAUCAUCUUGAUUGGCGCAGUUACUUUACCGUAACACUAAAGUAUUUCUUUCAGAGUUUCAUCUUUUAUGAAUGGCGGUACAUUGGAAAUAGCUACUUUUUUGGAGGGACUAGAUAACAGCAGUAAUUGUAAAAACAUAUUGUUUACCUCAAGCCCUGUCUCGAUUAAUUCAUCAACCAUUUCAACUUCAGUGAGAAAAACAACACGUGCUUUGUUCAUCCUGGCAGCUGAUUUAAUAUUUAAACCACCAACCUUCUGACUGACGGCUAGCAGAACGUCUUCGAUGUUCAUGUUCUCCUGCGGCAUGCACUUGAAUCCGUGUUUGAGAGUUAGACGCGAAAAAGAGUCGUUUGACUCCAUUAUUACUCGCAAACCUGCGCUAUGCACUCUGCUGGUAAAUACUUUAACAAUCCUUACGUUCAAUUUAUGAAUGACUAUAAACAAUGAAAGUUGAAAAAGAAAAACAGAAAAGUUUUCCACGCAUGCUCAAGCACCUGCAGUCUUCCCGCUACCCACAAUCCCCUGAGAGAGAGAGAGAGAGAGAAAGAGUAAGGUUUUCAGAAAGUAAACAUGUAUAAACUCAUGGAUCUCCUCUCAGUCUGUCUGUCGGAUGUUCUCUCAUUUCACUGAGGAGGUGACACACUGCACUCUCAGUUCAGCUGAAACUAUCAACCUGCAUUGUGUAAGACGUAAUAUCCAUACCAUUACACCAUACAUCUGGUGAUAUUCAUGGAGAGAGUGAACAACUGUCACAAUCAGACAGGUGUUAC
rnacentral:lncRNA from 1 species